UCACUCGCUCCAGUAUUUCUUCCAGGAGGACCUUGACCUGGCCCGUAACAGGAAACACAGGGUGAAGAAGGGGCUCUAACUCUCCAGGACUCCAUUCCCCUGCGAUACGGCGGUCAGGACGCCCGUCAGCGAUCCCCCGCCAUACUCUCGCAUUGUCUACUCCCUUCAGAGUCUCCAUGAGGCCGCCCUGCAGUUUCUGUCCUUGGGUCCUGGAAGAAGCAUCCCCAUCCAACACGUGAACCUCCUCCCCAGCCCCACGCUUCCUUUGGCCACACAAGCCAUCAGCUAAUUAGACCACGGGAGCCAGAACCACCAGGGUGUCUCUCCCGGAAAGUUGGAAAUGAAGCACUCAGAUCCUGGGUUGUUUGGGGGCAAGCGCUUGGAGGCUGAGUCUGCCAUUUUGAAGUAAAUGAAUAAGCCCAGGAGGUCUGUCAGCAGAGAAAGAAAAACGGAACAAGUACAGUCAUAAUAGAACAUGUAGCCAGCGGAGAGGGAGGGAGGGGGCCAGAGAGCCGGGCUCCUGGCACACUGUUCUGCCCAUUGUCCCCCCUCUUCUGUAACAGGUCCCCGUCUCCACCUGGGAAAUCCCCUCCUCCCCACUGUUUUGGGGUACAGUCACAGAGCCCGAUCCUCCCAUGAUCUACGUAGGCCAACCAGAUUAUCACUCCCAGGAGCACAAAAAUCUCUGGCCCAAGAUUCAGGGGCAGAAAGACCCCAGAGCCACUGGGAUAUCUGUCCUUCCUUCGGUCAGUUCCUUUUGACAGAGUGGGCUAUUUCUUGCCCAUUUCAGCAAAAGUAGUCUCUGUUGCUUACAACCAAAGAGCCUCGGCUGAGUUAAUACCGUUCCGUUAUGCAUUACCCACGCGAGUGCAAGCAAGCCAUCUAGGUCUCCAUCUUUUUAUCUAUAAAAAUUUCCAAGAGUGUCUUUCUCCACCUCCCCCCCCCCCCCGCCCCCACCAACUCCCAGGGGCUGAUGCAGACAUCAAAUUGAGUGAACUGAUGCAUGUGGCAGCAUCUGAAAGCUAUACAGACCUACAGAAAGGGUUAUUAAUAUUCACUCUGCCUUGUAUUGUUAGCACACAAUACAUUCUCUAGGAAAAGAGCUGAUGUCUGAAAAGGGAAAGUAAAACCUUAUCUCCCUGUCACAAAGGGGUCUCUGGUGCUGUCACAGCAAAAACCAGAAUGGAAUUUUACCGGUGCCUGAGAGCUGUUGCCAGGGGUAGAAGACAAAUGGCUAAAAUUAUAUCCUAUUUCUAUCGCCGGGGCUGAACUUGGAGAAACAGCCCUAUAUCGGACAUCACGCACAAAGAGAUGAAAAGAUAGGCUGCAGGCGCUGUCCCCAAAAUACACCGGACACCGAGAAAGAGACUUCUCCCGUGUCCUGAUCCGUCCGAGCAGGAUCUGGAGGCCAGGCCUGAGGACGAGCAGGAUUGCUGGGAAGGGAGCAGGUGCACAGACACGGAGAAGCCUGCGGGCCCCUCCGUGGGAGGAGAGGGUUGCAAGGGAUGUGGUCUGAUUGUUUGCACAAGCGAACGUCUCUGCCUUUUUGUUGUCCUUUUUGAGCAAUCUGUUUCCCAUAAAAAUCUAAGCGUUACAGGUAUUCAUUACAAACAAAACCCUCUCACAAUUCUUCCCUCGGCGGGGGGUGGGGGGGGAUCACUGUUAACUGUUACUUUAUGAUUCCUGCAGAUGUCCUUGAUGCAUAUAACCAUCCAUCCAUUAUCCCCCCACGCAUCAGUUUUGUCUGUCUGUCCUGUCUUCACUCCUCGCUCCCUCCUUUCUUUCCAUCUAUCACCAAGGGAGUCCUGUCAUACUUGCUUUUCGUCUUAUAAUAAAUCCUGCACA